GACGAACGCUGGCGGCGUGCUUAACACAUGCAAGUCGAACGGAAAGGCCCUGCUUUUGUUGGGUGCUCGAGUGGCGAACGGGUGAGUAACACGUGAGUAACCUGCCCUUGACUUUGGGAUAACUUCAGGAAACUGGGGCUAAUACCGGAUAGGAGCUCCUGCUGCAUGGUGGGGGUUGGAAAGUUUCGGUGGUUGGGGAUGGACUCGCGGCUUAUCAGCUUGUUGGUGGGGUAGUGGCUUACCAAGGCUUUGACGGGUAGCCGGCCUGAGAGGGUGACCGGCGACAUUGGGACUGAGAUACGGCCCAGACUCCUACGGGAGGCAGCAGUGGGGAAUAUUGCACAAUGGGCGGAAGCCUGAUGCAGCAACGCCGCGUGCGGGAUGACGGCCUUCGGGUUGUAAACCGCUUUCGCCUGUGACGAAGCGUGAGUGACGGUAAUGGGUAAAGAAGCACCGGCUAACUACGUG
rnacentral:rRNA from 1 species